GGACGGUAGGGGCCUCCCUUCUGAAGAGGCGGUGCGGGCGCUAUCCGCUGGGGCUGCGCUCCGCGGCGUGAGUCUGCGCGUCCUUCCCCGCGAGGUCCCUUCGCGGCCCGGCCUAGUGUGAGUAUUCCCCACCCGCUCUCCUCCUCCUGCAGGCGGCAGCGCCCGUUCAUUUGAGGCUUCUAAUGUGAGGAAAAACACGGAAUGACAAGUGUGGGAAAGAGCAAGCACUAAAUUACUGUCAGAAAAAUAAACGGAGUAGCACAGUGGUGCUCAGUGAUUUACGGGGGCAAUUAGUCACCACCCCACGGCGCUGCUGAGGACAGCAUGGUAGCAGACGCGUCAGGCCUGAGAGGAAGAAGAGGCUUGUGCUGCUCUCCAGACAACUUUUCAAACAACAAGAGAGGAUAUUUGAGUACAUUAGGUUCUAUGUCUUCAUUCCGGGUGCCUGCCCUUCAUGGUAUUCAACCAACCUAAUACAUAAACUUAUUUUUUAGCACAAUAUUAACCUGUUCUGUGUGUGUUACGAAGACUCCAGCUGCAGUUUUUUUCUCUCUCACUGUCCAAAGGUUUGACUGACAGCAGUGGUGAAUUCUGACUUAGACUGAGUUUGAAAUGUGCUUGUUUCCAAUGCUGAGGCCCAUUUGCACAACAAGCAAAAAAGACAAGGUUUAGAAGUAACUGAGCCUGAGAGAGAUUACAUGACUUCAUGAAGAUGGUAUGGCUGCUUAUAACAUCAUGAAGUAAGAUCUACUUCCUUGCUCCUGGGCUGGCCUUGUGACUUGCUUUUACCAUUAAAAUGAGAUGGAAGUGAUAUUGCACCAAUUCAAGAAGACUUGCGUACUUCUCUCUCUCUCUCGAAAUCCUGCUCAGCCACCAUGAGAACAAACCUGAGCUCACUUACUGGGUUAGCUGUCUCCGAUCCUGAGGUCACCACUCAUGAAGAGGGAAUAAUCCCAAGGACAGCAGGAUCUGCUUCAUCACUUGGAUUUAGGAGCUAGAAACUCAUCAGGCAACUAAACAGUAGCAAUGACCCACCAUUAAACACACCGAGAGAAGAGCAUGAUGAGGAGUUUGUACAAAGACAGUCCAGGAGCUCUCGUUGACAACGCCUGUGGAGACCUGACCGCUGUGAGCUCUGCCCAUUGAACUGCAGUAAAAAUUCUCCCCCUCUCCAAAGAUGCUUGGAUGUGGGCACAGUUCAGACAACUGUCUAAGCAUGGACUUAACAGAGUGAAAAGAAUCUGGACUGUGUGGGUCAGACAGACCUGUGUUUGAAUUGUUUGUUAUUCUGCCAUUUCUCUGUAAUAUGCUUUGGCAAUAUUUUAAAACGUCCGAGCCUCAGUUUUCUUGUUUGCAAAAUGGAGCUAAUACCUAUACAGGAGCUUUUAAGAGGAUCAAAUGUAACAGUGUUUGAAAAGCACGAGCUAGGUACUUCUCUUUAAAAAAAGAGCAAGAUAUAGGGCCAAAAAUGAAACCAAUACAACUAAAGCUAUUCUCAAACAGCUAAGUA